UGGGGAAUAUUGCACAAUGGGCGCAAGCCUGAUGCAGCAACGCCGCGUGAGGGAUGACGGCCUUCGGGUUGUAAACCUCUUUUAGUAGGGAAGAAGCGAAAGUGACGGUACCUGCAGAAAAAGCACCGGCUAACUACGUGCCAGCAGCCGCGGUAAUACGUAGGGUGCGAGCGUUGUCCGGAAUUAUUGGGCGUAAAGAGCUCGUAGGCGGUCUGUCGCGUCUGCUGUGAAAACCCGAGGCUCAACCUCGGGCCUGCAGUGGGUACGGGCAGACUAGAGUGCGGUAGGGGAGAAUGGAAUUCCUGGUGUAGCGGUGGAAUGCGCAGAUAUCAGGAGGAACACCGAUGGCGAAGGCAGUUCUCUGGGCCGUAACUGACGCUGAGGAGCGAAAGCGUGGGGAGCGAACAGGAUUAGAUACCCUGGUAGUCCACGCCGUAAACGUUGGGCGCUAGAUGUGGGGACCAUUCCACGGUUUCCGUGUCGCAGCUAACGCAUUAAGCGCCCCGCCUGGGGAGUACGGCCGCAAGGCUAAAACUCAAAGGAAUUGACGGGGUCAUAGCUGUUUCCU
rnacentral:rRNA from 1 species